rnacentral:rRNA from 1 species
UAGCUAGUUGGUGAGGUAAAGGCUUACCAAGGCGACGAUCUGUAGCGGGUCUGAGAGGAUGAUCCGCCACACUGGAACUGAGACACGGUCCAGACUCCUACGGGAGGCAGCAGUGGGGAAUUUUGGACAAUGGGGGCAACCCUGAUCCAGCCAUGCCGCGUGAGUGAAGAAGGCCUUCGGGUUGUAAAGCUCUUUCGGCCGGGAAGAAAUCGCAUGGGCCAAUACCCUGUGUGGAUGACGGUACCGGAAUAAGAAGCACCGGCUAACUACGUGCCAGCAGCCGCGGUAAUACGUAGGGUGCGAGCGUUAAUCGGAAUUACUGGGCGUAAAGCGUGCGCAGGCGGUUUUGUAAGACAGGCGUGAAAUCCCCGGGCUUAACCUGGGAACUGCGUUUGUGACUGCAAGGCUAGAGUACGGCAGAGGGGGGUGGAAUUCCACGUGUAGCAGUGAAAUGCGUAGAGAUGUGGAGGAACACCAAUGGCGAAGGCAGCCCCCUGGGUCGAUACUGACGCUCAUGCGCGAAAGCGUGGGUAGCAAACAGGAUUAGAUACCCUGGUAGUCCACGCCCUAAACUAUGUCAACUAGGUGUUGGGUGGGUAAAACCAUUUAGUACCGUAGCUAACGCGUGAAGUUGACCGCCUGGGGAGUACGGCCGCAAGGUUAAAACUCAAAGGAAUUGACGGGGACCCGCACAAGCGGUGGAUGAUGUGGAUUAAUUCGAUGCAACGCGAAAAACCUUACCUACCCUUGACAUGCCAGGAACUUGCCAGAGAUGGCUUGGUGCCCGAAAGGGAGCCUGGACACAGGUGCUGCAUGGCUGUCGUCAGCUCGUGUCGUGAGAUGUUGGGUUAAGUCCCGCAACGAGCGCAACCCUUGUCGUUAAUUGCCAUCAUUUAGUUGGGCACUUUAACGAGACUGCCGGUGACAAACCGGAGGAAGGUGGGGAUGACGUCAAGUCCUCAUGGCCCUUAUGGGUAGGGCUUCACACGUCAUACAAUGGUCGGUACAAAGGGUUGCCAAGCCGCGAGGCGGAGCCAAUCCCAGAAAGCCGAUCGUAGUCCGGAUUGCAGGCUGCAACUCGCCUGCAUGAAGUCGGAAUCGCUAGUAAUCGUGGAUCAGCAUGUCACGGUGAAUACGUUCCCGGGUCUUGUACACACCGCCCGUCACACCAUGGAGCGGGUUCCGCCAGAAGUAGGUAGCCUAACCGCAAGGGGGGCGCUUACCACGGCGGGGUUCGUGACUGGGGUGAAGUCGUAACAAGGUAGCCGUAGGGGAACCUGCGGCUG